AACGGGGGGGACAAGUGUUACUCAACUUAACUGGGCGUAAAGGGCAAUUAGACUGUUUUUUAAGUAAUAAGUUAAAUUUUAAAACUCAAUUUUAAAAAAGCUUUUUUUACUGAAAAACUAGAGUUUGAUAGAGAAUAACAGUAUUUUUAGUGUAGAGGUAAAAUUCGGCGAUAUUAAAAAGACUAUCAUUUGGUGAAGACAGUUAUUUGGGUCAAUACUGACGUUGAUAAGCGAAAGCGUUGGGGAGCAAACAGG
rnacentral:rRNA from 1 species